GGCAGACGGGUGAGUAACAUGUACGUAUCUGCCCUUUGGCCUGGAAUAACACGAGGAAACUUGUGCUAAUACCGGAUAAGUCUUUACGGAGAAAGCUUUAUGCACCAUUGGAUGAGCCUGCACUUGAUUAGUUUGUUGGUGGGGUAAUGGCCUACCAAGACUGUGAUCAAUAGCUGAUUUGAGAGGAUGAUCAGCCACAUUGGGACUGAGACACGGCCCAAACUCCUACGGGAGGCAGCAGUGGGGAAUCUUGCACAAUGGAGGAAACUCUGAUGCAGCGAUGCCGCGUGAGUGAAGAAGGCCCUUGGGUUGUAAAGCUCUUUCGUCGGGGAAGAAAAUGACUGUACCCGAAUAAGAAGGUCCGGCUAACUUCGUGCCAGCAGCCGCGGUAAUACGAAGGGACCUAGCGUAGUUCGGAAUUACUGGGCUUAAAGAGUUCGUAGGUGGUUGAAAAAGUUGGUGGUGAAAUCCCAGAGCUUAACCCUGGAACUGCCAUCAAAACUUUUCAGCUAGAGUAUGAUAGAGGAAAGCAGAAUUUCUAGUGUAGAGGUGAAAUUCGUAGAUAUUACAAAGAAUACCUAUUGCGAAGGCAGCUUUCUGGAUCAUUACUGACACUGAGGAACGAAAGCAUGGGUAGCGAAGAGGAUUAGAUACCC
rnacentral:rRNA from 1 species